GGUUUUAACCCAGUAUCUCAAGGUACUAAGGGCGUCUGACCUACACUCAGGUGUUGUGUCAAAAACCUUAAUUUUUGGAUCGCCUUCUCGGGGUAUCCGGGAGGGCAAC
rnacentral:sRNA from 1 species